rnacentral:rRNA from 1 species
CUAGAGAUAGAGUCUUCCCCUUCGGGGGACAAAGUGACAGGUGGUGCAUGGUUGUCGUCAGCUCGUGUCGUGAGAUGUUGGGUUAAGUCCCGCAACGAGCGCAACCCUUAAGCUUAGUUGCCAGCAUUAAGUUGGGCACUCUAAGUUGACUGCCGGUGACAAACCGGAGGAAGGUGGGGAUGACGUCAAAUCAUCAUGCCCCUUAUGAUUUGGGCUACACACGUGCUACAAUGGACAAUACAAGGGGCAGCUAAACCGUGAGGUCAUGCAAAUCCCAUAAAGUUGUUCUCAGUUCGGAUUGUAGUCUGCAACUCGACUACAUGAAGCUGGAAUCGCUAGUAAUCGUAGAUCAGCAUGCUACGGUGAAUACGUUCCCGGGUCUUGUACACACCGCCCGUCACACCACGAGAGUCUGUAACACCCGAAGCCGGUGGAGUAACCAUUUAUGGAGCUAGCCGUCGAAGGUGGGACAAAUGAUUGGGGUGAAGUCGUAACAAGGUAGCCGUAUCGGAAGG